rnacentral:rRNA from 1 species
GACGAACGCUGGCGGCGUGCCUAACACAUGCAAGUCGAACGGGGUCCAUGAGAGCUUGCUCUCGGAAGACCUAGUGGCGAACGGGUGAGUAACACGUGAGAAACCUGCCUCGGAGUGGGGAAUAACUCGGGGAAACUCGAGCUAAUACCGCAUACCUUCAGAUGAUCGCAUGGUCGACUGAAGAAAGAAUUUCGCUCUGAGAGGGUCUCGCGGCCUAUCAGCUUGUUGGUGGGCAACGGCCCACCAAGGCAACGACGGGUAGCUGGAUUGAGAGAUCGAUCAGCCACACUGGAACUGAGACACGGUCCAGACUCCUACGGGAGGCAGCAGUGGGGAAUCUUGCGCAAUGGGCGAAAGCCUGACGCAGCAACGCCGCGUGCGGGAUGACGGCCUUCGUGGUUGUAAACCGCUUUCAGCAGGGACGAAAAUGACGGUACCUGCAGAAGAAGCCCCGGCUAACUACGUGCCAGCCGCCGCCGUAACAC